rnacentral:rRNA from 1 species
GCAUAUCAAUAAGCGGAGGAAAAGAAACCAACAGGGAUUGCCUCAGUAACGGCGAGUGAAGCGGCAAGAGCUCAAAUUUGAAAUCUGGUGCCUUCGGUGCCCGAGUUGUAAUUUGAAGAGGAUGCCUCGGUUGUGGCCCCGGCCUAAGUUCCUUGGAACAGGACGUCGCAGAGGGUGAGAAUCCCGUACGCGGCUGGCGGCUUACUUCCAUGUGUGGCUCCCUCGAAGAGUCGAGUUGUUUGGGAAUGCAGCUCAAAAUGGGUGGUAAAUUUCAUCUAAAGCUAAAUACUGGCGAGAGACCGAUAGCGCACAAGUAGAGUGAUCGAAAGAUGAAAAGCACUUUGAAAAGAGAGUUAAACAGUACGUGAAAUUGUUGAAAGGGAAGCGCUUGCAAUCAGACUCGCUCUCAGUUGAUCAACGUUCCUUCUGGUUCGUGCACUCUUCUGUCUGCGGGCCAGCAUCGGUUGGGACGGCGGGACAAAGGCACCGGGAAUGUGGCCCUUCGGGGUGUUAUAGCCCGGCGCGCAAUGCCGCCUGCCCCGACCGAGGUCCGCGCUCCGGCUAGGAUGCUGGCUUAAUGGUUGUAAGCGACCCGUCUUGAAACACGGACCAAGGAGUCUAACAUCUAUGCGAGUUUUUGGGUGCAAAACCCAUGAGCGCAAUGAAAGUGAACGGAGGUGGGAGCCUUAGGGUGCACCAUCGACCGAUCCUGAUGUUCUCGGAUGGAUUUGAGUAUGAGCAUAGCUGUUGGGACCCGAAAGAUGGUGAACUAUGCCUGAAUAGGGUGAAGCCAGAGGAAAACUCUGGUGGAGGCUCGCAGCGGUUCUGACGUGCAAAUCGAUCGUCAAAUUUGGGUAUAGGGGCGAAAGACUAAUCGAACCAUCUAGUAGCUGGUUCCUGCCGAAGU